CACCCGUAGGCCCAGACGUCUGGGUCUAUGGGUGCAGGCUUUGGGCCUAGUCGCACAGGCCUGGCUGGGGGGAGGAGAUUGGGGGUGGCUGAGUUAUCCUGCGCCUCCCCUCCUCCCUUGGCCUGCUCCUUACCGGGCAUUUGAGCGGUGAUGGCUGUUGCUGUGGCCUUGUCCGGCACCUUCCCCCCCUCAGACAAACAAAAAAAGAGAAACAAAACAAAAACAUAACUAAUGUCUGACCUCCCAGUUUUGUGGGGUCGGAUGAAAACAGAUCAGGGCCUCGACGAAAGCCGGGACAUGAAACAGAACAAGGUUAACUCUUGAUGUUACAUGGAUAGAUGAAGGACAAGCCAGGAGAAGAUAAUGAAAAGUUAUAACCACACAAUGCUCAGAUUGUCUUUGGCAGCUUGUUUCAACCAGACCUGUGCUGGCAAGACUGGAGAAACUAGAUCUCAAAGGAACACAUUGCCAUCAGGAAACAAAGAGUUUUUCAGUCAUGUUAUUGCUGCUCCUGCUGUUCCUUCUCUCUUGUACAGUAUGUCAAGGAUAUUCUGCAAAAUGCUGUGGGAAUGAUCCCAUUCUUAUCCCACAGGAAUGGUACCAACCAGGUGAAAUUCUUAUAGGAGGGAUUAUGUCUCACAUCCAUUUUAUGGUGUUAGGAAUUUCCUUCAAGAAGCAUCCUUCUCAAGACUGGGUUAUUGUUCCAA